rnacentral:misc_RNA from 1 species
CCGAGGCGGAAACGGACCAAGGUAGAGCGAUCAAAGGCUAUUUGGACAUGGGCAUGUCGUUCAUGGAUCAGGCUGACCGUGCUGCCUUGAUCGGUGCAGCGGCCCAGGUGGUUUCCACUGGAGAUCCCCGCACCGUCAUGUCGCGCUUGCGGGAUCUCGCGCCGCUCGCUCCACCCCCGCCGGCCGUCAUUGCGGAGGAACAAGAGCCGCGCGCAC